ACCAAGGCGCUUGAGAGAACUCAGGGUGAAGGAACUAGGCAAAAUGGUGCCGUAACUUCGGGAGAAGGCACGCUGGCGCGUAGGUGAAGUCCCUUGCGGAUGGAGCUGAAGCCAGUCGAAGAUACCAGCUGGCUGCAACUGUUUAAUAAAAACACAGCACUGUGCAAACACGAAAGUGGACGUAUACGGUGUGACGCCUGCCCGGUGCUGGAAGGUUAAUUGAUGGGGUCAGCCGCAAGGCGAAGCUCUUGAUCGAAGCCCCAGUAAACGGCGGCCGUAACUAUAACGGUCCUAAGGUAGCGAAAUUCCUUGUCGGGUAAGUUCCGACCUGCACGAAUGGCGUAAUGAUGGCCAGGCUGUCUCCACCCGAGACUCAGUGAAAUUGAACUCGCUGUGAAGAUGCAGUGUACCCGCGGCAAGACGGAAAGACCCCGUGAACCUUUACUAUAGCUUGACACUGAACAUUGAGCCUUGAUGUGUAGGAUAGGUGGGAGGCUUUGAAGCGUGGACGCCAGUCUGCGUGGAGCCAACCUUGAAAUACCACCCUUUAAUGUUUGAUGUUCUAACUCCGGUCCCUAAUCGGGAUUGAGGACAGUGUCUGGUGGGUAGUUUGACUGGGGCGGUCUCCUCCUAAAGAGUAACGGAGGAGCACGAAGGUUAGCUAAUCACGGUCGGACAUCGUGAGGUUAGUGCAAUGGCAUAAGCUAGCUUGACUGCGAGAGUGACGGCUCGAGCAGGUACGAAAGUAGGUCAUAGUGAUCCGGUGGUUCUGAAUGGAAGGGCCAUCGCUCAACGGAUAAAAGGUACUCCGGGGAUAACAGGCUGAUACCGCCCAAGAGUUCAUAUCGACGGCGGUGUUUGGCACCUCGAUGUCGGCUCAUCACAUCCUGGGGCUGAAGUAGGUCCCAAGGGUAUGGCUGUUCGCCAUUUAAAGUGGUACGCGAGCUGGGUUUAGAACGUCGUGAGACAGUUCGGUCCCUAUCUGCCGUGGGCGUUGGAAGAUUGAGAGGGGCUGCUCCUAGUACGAGAGGACCGGAGUGGACGCAUCACUGGUGUUCGGGUUGUCAUGCCAAUGGCAUUGCCCGGUAGCUAAAUGCGGAAAAGAUAAGCGCUGAAAGCAUCUAAGCGCGAAACUUGCCUCGAGAUGAGUCUUCCCUGAGACCUUGAGUCUCCUAAAGGAACGUUUAAGACUAAGACGUUGAUAGGCUGGGUGUGUAAGCGUAGCGAUACGUUGAGCUAACCAGUACUAAUGAUCCGUGAGGCUUAACCUU
rnacentral:rRNA from 1 species